AAGAUUUUAGUAAAACAUUACCUAGCUCUGUCAGCGCUAAAUUAUAGGCCCGAAAUCCUAUAAAUCUUA
rnacentral:tRNA from 1 species